GUCCUAGCCGUAAACGAUGGGCACUAAGUAGAGGGGCUCCGAAGGCCUCUCUGCCGGAGCUAAUGUGUUAAGUGCCCCGCCUGGGGGAGUAUGGUCGCAAGGCUGAAACUCAAAGGAAUUGACGGGGGCUCACACAAGCGGUGGAGCAUGUUGUUUAAUUCGAUGCAACGCGAAGAACCUUACCUGGGCUUGACAUGCUAGUAGUACCGAACCGAAAGGGGAGGGACCUCCUUUGGAGGAGCUAGCACAGGUAUUGCAUGGCUGUCGU
rnacentral:rRNA from 1 species